UAGGGAAUUUUUCGUCAAUGGGCGCAAGCCUGAACGAGCGAUGCCGCGUGAGUGAAGAAGGCCUUCGGGUCGUAAAGCUCUGUUGCGGGGGAAAAAAGGCAGCAUCAGGAAAUGGGUGCUGACUGAUGGUGCCCCGCCAGAAAGUCACGGCUAACUACGUGCC
rnacentral:rRNA from 1 species